UAUACCGUGAAUGUUUGUGGCAGGUAAACUAAAUUAAUUAAUAUCAACAAUCGCAUUAAAUAAUCCAUGUAUUUUCUACGUAAAAUUAGCUACAUUACAUUAAUGUUUUACUUAUUACUCGUUUUCAUCUUGAAGCCGUGGUGCAGCCAAUUCCCGUUCUAAACGCUCCGUCUGGAGUUGGGAAUUUCUUUGUCUGGCCUGGAAAAUUGUCAGCAUCUUCUCCAGACACCCCAUUGAUAACAUCGCCAGCUCUUGGGGUGUGGACGGCUCGUGCCAUCUGGGCGAUUCAUGAGAUGGCGGCGGCGGUGGUGGUGGUGGCGCCUCUUCUUGGUCGAUGGCUGCUGAAGACGGCGGCGAGACGUGGUCAUAAAAUUCUCUUAGUAAUUGCAUAUCUUUUUCCCCCCUAGGCAACGGGGCACUGUAACAAUAAGAGAAACAAUAUUAAAAAUAGAUUAUAUGUAGAAUAAAAGUAA